UAUGACCAUUUAUUGCUAACAUCUUUCUCAGAUACUGCUGCCAAGGGUUAAAAUGUUUACAUGCCCCCUGAUUUUAAAUGGACCGGGUUGCAUGUCAAAUGCCAACGAGAGGGACAGCUGGAGUAUCUAAACCAAGAGCUUUGAUCUUGGUAUCUGUAAAAAAGAGGUCAUUUGGUCUCCCCAGGAAGCACAGACAUUUAGAAGGUCCCUGUACAACUCAUGCAAGUAUUUUAUUAACAGCAAUUUCUAUUCACAUUUAGAUCUCAGAGGGAAACCAUCUCUGCCAAGGCCGACACCGUUAGCACAGUGGCACAAUGGCACCCUCUGUUGCCCUUCAUGAUUCCUUUGGUGGCUGCUCCCACGUGGAUGUAUUAACUUCUGAAAACAUCUGUGCAUCGUCUUCCCCAAAUCCGACCUCUUCCUGCCUAACUUCCUUGUUUGUUUGGAAUUAUCCUCUGUUAUUUCCCUUCAUAAUAAAAUCCACUUUGUUCUUCGAGUCU